rnacentral:rRNA from 1 species
AACGAACGCUGGCGGCAUGCCUAACACAUGCAAGUCGAACGAGACCUUCGGGUCUAGUGGCGCACGGGUGCGUAACGCGUGGGAACCUGCCCUUAGGUUCGGAAUAACUCCCCGAAAGGGGUGCUAAUACCGGAUAAUGUCUUCGGACCAAAGAUUUAUCGCCUUUGGAUGGGCCCGCGUUGGAUUAGCUAGUUGGUAGGGUAAAAGCCUACCAAGGCGACGAUCCAUAGCUUGUCUGAGAGGAUGAUCAGCCACACUGGGACUGAGACACGGCCCAGACUCCUACGGGAGGCAGCAGUGGGGAAUAGUGGACAAUGGGCGAAAGCAUGAUCCAGCAAUGACGGGUGAGUGAUGAAGGCCUUAGGGUUGUAAAGCUCUUUUAACCGGGAUGAUAAUGACAGUACCGGGAGAAUAAGCGCCGGCUAACUCCGUG